rnacentral:rRNA from 1 species
UACGUAGGGGGCAAGCGUUGUCCGGAUUUACUGGGCGUAAAGCGCACGUAGGCGGCUUUGUAAGUUAGAGGUGAAAGCCCGGAGCUCAACUCCGGAAUUGCCUUUAAGACUGCAUCGCUAGAAUUGUGGAGAGGUGAGUGGAAUUCCGAGUGUAGAGGUGAAAUUCGUAGAUAUUCGGAAGAACACCAGUGGCGAAGGCGACUCACUGGACACAUAUUGACGCUGAGGUGCGAAAGCGUGGGGAGCAAACAGG